GGGAUGGGCAGGCCUAAACAUGCAAGUCGAACGAAUCCGGGGACUUCGGUUCCCGGUGUGUAUGUGGCGCACGGGUGCGUAACGCGUAUGCAACCUACCUUCCACUGGGGGAUAGCCCUCCGAAAGGGGGAUUAAUACCGCAUGACAUGAUAGAGUGGCAUCACUUUAUCAUCAAAGCUGAGGCGGUGGAAGAUGGGCAUGCGUGCCAUUAGCUAGUUGGCGGGGUAGAGGCCCACCAAGGCGACGAUGGCUAGGGGUUCUGAGAGGAUGGUCCCCCACACUGGUACUGAGACACGGACCAGACUCCUACGGGAGGCAGCAGUAGGGAAUAUUGGGCAAUGGCCGAGAGGCUGACCCAGCCAUGCCGCGUGCAGGAAGAAGGCCUUCUGGGUUGUAAACUGCUUUUAUAUAGGAAGAAAACGCCCCUGCGGGGGUAACUGACGGUACUAU
rnacentral:rRNA from 1 species